GCCUCGGUAGUGUAAUAGAUAAGCACAGCAGACCGGAAAUCUGUAGACGUGUGGGUUCGAGUCCCGCCUGAGGUG
rnacentral:tRNA from 1 species